rnacentral:rRNA from 1 species
UAAGUGCACGCCUUCAUACGGUGAAACCGCGAAUGGCUCAUUAAAUCAGCUAUGGUUUAUUGGAUCAUACCCGUUAAAUGGAUAACUGUAAUAACUCUAGAGCUAAUACAUGCCCCGAAGCCCUGACCCGCGAGGGAAUGGGUGCACUUAUUAGAUCAGAAGCCAACCAGGUAGUGUCCUCUCGCUUUCGGGUGGGAGCUCCGCUGCCUGUCGUCCUUCUGGUGACUCUGGAUAAUUGUUACAGAUCGCAGUCGGCCUUGCGUCGGCGACGGGUCCUUCAAAUGUCUGCCCUAUCAACUUUCGAUGGUAGGUGACCUGCCUACCAUGGUGAUAACGGGUAACGGGGAAUCAGGGUUCGAUUCCGGAGAGGGAGCCUGAGAAACGGCUACCACUUCCAAGGGAGGCAGCAGGCGCGCAAAUUACCCACUCCCAGAU